rnacentral:rRNA from 1 species
AUUCCAGCUCCAAUAGCGUAUAUUAAAGUUGUUGCGGUUAAAAAGCUCGUAGUUGGAUUUCUGCUAGGGACGAUCGGUCCACCCACUGGGUGUGUAUCUGUGUCGGCCUUGGCAUCUUCCUGGCGAACGCAACUGCACUUGACUGUGUGGUGCGGUAUCCAGGACUUUUACUUUGAGUAAAUUAGAGUGUUCAAAGCAGGCAUCGCCUUGAAUAUAUUAGCAUGGAAUAGCACGAUAGGACUCUGGCCUAUUUUGCUGGUCUGUAGGACCGGAGUAAUGAUCAAGAGGGACAGUCGGGGGCAUUCGUAUUUCAUUGUCAGAGGUGAAAUUCUUGGAUUUAUGAAAGACGAACUUCUGCGAAAGCAUUUGCCAAGGAUGUUUUCAUCA